rnacentral:lncRNA from 1 species
GGUCUCAGGAGCAAAUACAGAGUAUUUGGGUAGUGAAUAUAUGUGCAAUUUAUCUAAUCUGUAUUUUUGUUAUAUUUUUAAAUUUUUACUUUCCCAUGUGCAGUUCCACCCCAGGGCCUUUGCAUUUACCCUUCCCAGAAUGUUUUUCCUCCAGACAUCCACGUGGUUCCCUCCUUUGUUUCAUUCAUAAUUUGCUCACAUGACACCUUAUCAGAGACACUUGCCUUGACUAUUUAUUCUAAAUGAAAUUGCAUCAUGAGUCCUCCACAUCUUUUUCUAUCCUCUCGCCCUGCCACAUGUUUGUUUAUGGCUUCUCUGCCCCUACAAAAGGUAAGCUCCUACUAUAGUCUGAAUGUCGCUUGAGAAUUCAUACGUUGAAACCUAAUGCUCAAUGUGAUGGUAUUAGGAGGUGGGGGCCUUUGGGAAGUGAUCAGGCCAUGAGAGUAAGAGCCAUUAUGAAUGAUCAGUAUCCUUAAAAAAAAGACUCCAAAGAGCUCCCUUCCACCAUGUGAAGACAGCAGAAAGACUGCCAUGAGGAAGCACGCCCUUACCAGAUACCGAAUCUAUUGGUACCUUGAUUUUCGACUUCCUAUCAUCCAGAACUGUGAAAAAUAAAUUCUGUUGUUUAUAAGCCACCCAAUCUAUGGUAGUCUGUCACAGCAGCCAAAAAAGGGCUUAGACCACUCCAGAGAAUAGAGAUGUGGCUGCGUUUAACUAGGAUCCCUCCAGCUCCUACAGUACUGGGUAGGUGGAAAUCCAUCAAUAAAUAUCAGUGAAUGAAUGAAUUUAAGAAGCCAAAGAUGAAAAGAUAAUAUAUUUGGUUUUGAAACAGAGGGGACAGGAUCAUUAAAUUUCACUCUGUAAGUUAUCCACCUUGUCCUGCCAAUUUAUUUACAACAUAAAGUUCACAACACUGGAACCAAUUAUAGUCUCACUACUUCUUAUAAUAUUUAAGACAGGCUAUUGCAAUCUGAGAGAAACUGACUAUAGAUCCCAGAACUUUGUUUUAUGCUUUCCCCAUGUCUUCAAUAACAGGAAGGAAAAUAAAACAAGCAAAGAAUCAACAACAAAAAAGAAAACGUAAACUCAGGCUGGAGGAGGUAAUAUUUGUUUUUUAAAAAAUUAUCAUAUGCUCUUUGACAGUUUGAUCUUUACAGAUAAAAGAAAGAAGUGUACAAAUGUAGAAUAUGAAUUUUUUUUAUUUCUUUAAAUAUAUAUGUCAUGAUAACUAUAUGACUUGAGUUAUAACAUAGCUUUAUUGCUAUAGUAGAAAUAACUGAGCUUUGGUGAAUUAGUGUCUUUUUCCAUCGUGAGAUGGACACCGUCAAGGCGAACAGAAGAUGAAGAUGGUGCCUGCAUCUAUGAGGUGAGAGAGUUAAGUGCUGCACUGCUGUACUAAGCACAGAGCAUGGGCAUAUGGGCUGGGUUUUUCUAGGCCCAGAAAAAGCUUCAGGCAAGGACAGGGACAAGGGAUAUACCUACUCUGCUCCAAGCACUGCCCACAGGUCAAAGCAGCUUCUCUGUGAGUCAAUGCUUUAGUUACAAACAAUUGUCUCAGGAGUGAGAUCAUUAAUCACAUUUUAACUGAGGAUACUGCAAACCCCAAGAAGGCAUCAGAAGACUUUUUAAAUCCUUCUAUAUCAUAAUUAUCCAGUUUUUUGGUCCAAAUGUAAAGUUCAUAGAGGUUGUCUAUAAAAAAUAAAGUGGUACAAAAGGAAACCUUAUUUGAAAGUAAAAGUUAAGAAGCAAGGGGUUGUAAGUGAAUUUGAAGUCCAGUCUACAGUGUUGUUAUAGUUACCUAAGACAAACAGUGACAUGGCAGAGAGCCUCCAAACUAACACACUUAAAAAAAAAAAAAACAAAAAAAGCUUUAAAAAAAAAAAAAAAACUGUCUUCCCCUCCAUUUCCAUAGAGCUCCAACCUUCUAUCCUUGUUCCUGUGGAUUCUUGCAGAGACCAUCUGGCAUUAGAAAAUGACCAGGCUGUGAUUAUUGUGAUUUGUACACCUUUAGAAACAGAAUAGAUAACAGGAAAGGGUGCGGGGGUCUUGGAGAUGUAGCUAUUCAAUUAAAUAAUAAUUCAGUGGCCACCUGCUAUGUGUAUUGCCCCAACUGUUCCUAGGGAGUCAAUGGUAAAUAAGACUAAAUCUUUAUCCAAAGAAAGCUUUACAGUAUAGCAAGGGUAAAAUGGUAGCUACAUGACUGACUAUAAUACAUGCUAGAAAAAGAAAAGGUAUAUGCUAUAACGGGACAGAAACCAAAGUCUCUGAGGUACAAAGAUGAUGACAUUACAUGUUUUGGGGGAUCCAAUAUGGAAGUAAACCAUGAGAAAUGGAUUGUAAGAAUGGCUAUUGUAGGUAGACAGAACUUCAAGAGCAAUAGUAACGAAUGAGGAAGAAUAAGUAUGAAUAAAAAGAAGUUCAGCUUAUUAGCUCAGAGGGAAUAUACAGUGGAGCAGUGCUAAGAUGCAAUAUUGGAACGCAAAACGAUAUUAGAAAAAAUUAGAAUAUGGUAAAGGUUUUACCAUUUAUCCAUCAUGAAUGAAUGGUACCCUAACAGCAAUGACAAUGAACUGAGAUGGAAGAGUGAGGCGAUGAGAUGGCUUGUUAGGAUGCAACCGCAGUCCAGGUAAGCAGUGAUAAGAGUCUGGAAUAAAGUGAUGAUAAUCAAAAUGGGCAAGAGCAACAGCAUUAACACAGGAGGGAAAACUGGAUUUGUAUAGGAUUGGCUACAGAGACACCAGGGAAGGGGAAGGGCCUGUUAAUGACAGUUCUAAGCUAUGGAGCUUCAGUGACACAGGGAGUGCUAUGUACCCUCCUCAGCACUUUAUAAAUGCCAUUCACUCCUCAGGACAACAAUGAAUGAGCAGUCCUCCCAUUGUACAUAUGAGAAAACUGAGGCUGAGAGAAGAUACACAGCUUAUAAUGCAGUGAGUGACAAAGCCAGAAUCUGGAUUGAAAACUGCUUGAUUAUAUUACAGCUUCCAGGAGGAUGCAGGUAGUUAUACUACUAAUAAUAAAAGCACAUUUUUCAUUUCAAAGUUGUUCUCAGAUAUACAGAUUUCUAACUGGCAUCAAAUUAUCAAACACACAGUAUCAAAUCUAUUAACCUUAUUUAUUUAAUUUUUCCUCACUUCUGCAAUACACAGCUAACUAGCAAUGUUAUAAUACAAAUAAAAUUUUGAUGCCAAUCAGGUAUCAAAAUAAAUUAAAUGGGGAUUAAAACAGAAACAAAAUUUAACCAAAAAUGUGUGUUAUGACAAUACCUAAAGUCCAGAUAGCACAACAUAAUCUGAAGGAAAAAAAAAACGUACAAGUUACAUUUCAUACUCUGAUGUUUUCUAAGUAAAUUACAGCAAUGAAAUUAAUUAUCUAACUAUGAGAUUAUCUGACAUAUCUUCUAGGAUUUACCCCCUAAAAUGACAGAAUUAGAAAUACUUAUUUCAACAUUACCCAGGGUAAAAUGUCAAUAAAAUUCAGUGUGACUUUCAGGUUAUUGUUUUUACCAGGAAUAGAAAAAAUGUGCCUUUAUUUUGUCAGUUCGAAAUAUCUUCUAGUAGUGUAUUACCAGGAUGAUAAACUAAUGAGACAUCUCAUAUUAUGGCACAUCAUAAAUUUUAACUUGAAAUACAUGAAUACAUUUUACAUGAUUGCCCUUUAUAGACUUACUUCAUUUCGGACACACACACAAUAGAAUAUGAGACACUGAAUAGAUAUUUAGAAAACUGCGCUCAUCACCUCUAAGAAAUGCUUCUAAAAUAAAAUGGACUUCCUCUUGUUUCUGGCUUCAGUUGACAUUUACAUUUGCUUCUUCUGGUUGUAAUUUAUUAUGAGUCUUUAUUAAAAGUAGACAGAAGAGGGAGUUCCUGUUGUGGCACGGCGGAAAUGAAUCAGACUAGUGUCCAUGAGGAUGCGGGUUCGAUCCCUGGCCUCAUUCAGUGGGUUAAGGAUCUGGCGUUGCCCUGAGCUGUGGUGUGUGUUGCAGAUGUGGCUUGGAUAUGCUGUUGCUGUGGCUGUGGCACAGGCCAGCAGCUAUAGCUCUGAUUCAAUUCCUAGCCCAGGAACUUCCAUAUGCUGCAGGUGCAGCCUUAAAAAGCAAAUAAAAUAAAAUAAAAUAAAACAAAUAAAAAUAAAGAUAGACAGAAGAUUUAGAGGAUCUGGUGUAACUGAGAUAAGCACUUAUACAAAAAUAAUCCUCUGCCCCUCGUUCCUUUAAUAAGCACAGGAGAUGGCAUGCUCUGGAAGGAACACAGAUUCAGGAACUGGUCAGUGUAGAUCCACCUGGCCUCUUCCCCUUCCACCAGACAUCUGUGGAGAACACCGACCAGGCAGUGCUGGGGUGAGGAGCGGCGACUUUGGGAGGGCUCCCUGCAGUGCGGCUGGCCCACUGCAAGCACUCCCACAACACUAGCUAUUAUUUCCAUUAGCUUCCUCAAGGAGACAAACACCAAGCUGGAUUAAAUUAGAGGCAAAGAGACAGUAUAUAAGAAAUACAAAAGAAAGAGAAGGGUGCAAGAGAAAGAGGUAGGACAGAUCAUUUUUCAUAUGUGGAAAGCUCCAGGAAGUUUACUAGAGGUUAUUAUGUACACUAACCUUUGAAAACUUUGGAACAUGUUGGUACAGUUAGUUCUCAAUCACCUCAGCGUCAGCCCUCUUUACUUUUUCUGGAGGUUACAUAUUGUGUGGAUGCCCCCUGACAUAUUUUUCAUUGCAGAGAAACACUUGCAGAGGGAGAUGGAUGCAUCAUUUCUCCAUGUGGCUCCUUCUCCAGCCUGCACUUGUGGGGAGCUCUGCUGAUGCUGGUGAGGUUCUCAGGACUAGCCGAUGCCAGCCUCCAGCGCAGUACCCAGGAUAAAGCAGGCACUCCACAUUCUCUAACUAAAGAGAAGGGGUUGUACUGGCAAGUAAACCCCUUCUCUAAAGGAAACAGGCAAACGUCUAGCUGAUCACUGUUCUCCUAGCAAUCAGUGGAAGAGUGUUACAGAUGAAUUAGGGGUGGACAACAAAACCAACAGCCAACCACAAAACUAUUUCCUCUCGACACACUCUUAAAAAUGCUGCUCGACAGGAUUUGGGGUAAUCUGUCAAAGUUCUGGACUGUCUCUUUAAAGCGAGGUCCUAUAAUUUAAGAGAUUUGGGGAAAUCUGUCAAGAAUUGGACUGUCUCUUUAAAGUGAGGUCCUAUAACUUAAGAGACCAUAGUAUGUCUUUGAAAACCGUGGGUCCAUUGGAGUAUUUCCGUCAUGACCAACUCCACUGAUUCACCCAACUCAUCAUGUAUUUUUUUGACUGUGACUUGGUUCCCAUAUAGGUCAAUUUACAUGGAAAGAAUGUACUGAUCAUGUAGAAUUGGUACUUCUGCUGAAGGGGACAGUUAAUUCUUAUAGCGAUUCAAAAGAAUAGCUUCUAUUUGUGACUUAAUUUCUUACAUCGCUCAACAAAAAUGAGCUCGUACUUCAUGUCCUCGGUGAUACUUCUUUGUUUUGUUUAAAUAGUAAACUAGUAUUCUAGUAGCAAAAAAUAACAAGAAACUUAACAAACAUACACAUACAUAAUCAUACAACAUAGAAGUUCGUGUGUGUGUGUAUAAGUAUUUAUAAAGAGAUAUUGAUAAAAUCUUAUCUUUUGGAUAAGAAUGACUUUCAAAAUAAUGAGUUCACCUACCUGAAUG